UAUGAGCUAAACCCAUCAGUAGUUGGUGUCU
rnacentral:piRNA from 2 species